CUUGCAUUGACAUCAGGUAUGUUUUUCUGCAGGUACAUGUAAUUUAUUCCCGACAAUUCAUCGAUCAACCAGUCAAAACAUACAUCUGAAAGUGAAACUCUUGUCUGAGAAGAAAGGUUAAGAUGGAAAAAAUAAAAACCACGUCUGCUCCCCCCACGGGCUUUUUUUGGGUAGUGGAACACCUGAGCUCAUUGGAGCUUCAGUGCAUUACUAAUUCAACUGACAAGGCUGCCUAUGAGACACAGCGUUCAAAGAGACAGAGGGAAGAACUCAUAAGAUUGAGUGUCAGGACACAGCUGAGUUUGUGUUGAAGUGCAUCAUGCAAGCUCAGCGUCCCUGAACUGCAGGGGAGACCACCACAAUUUGUUUAUGAAUGCAGCUGUGUGCAUUACUGGAACUUUAUCACUUUUUUUUACCCCCUUCCAACCGGUGCAUAAUGUUUCAAAGGUAUCCCUGACUUGAUGCUUCAAAAUCCCUUUCUGCUUAACAACAGAAGAAUCCAAGGACAGAAAUCCCAUCUCUGUCCACCAAACAUCUGGAAUGAAAAGGAAGCCAUACAUUGCUGUGGCCUGACUCACUUCAGUAUGAAUUGUGCUGGUGAUUUGACUUCUUUCCAACUGACAGUGAACUGAGACUGCAGCUCAGAAUGUACAGCAUGCAUGACCAAAUACAUGGCAUAGACAGUUCCACCUCAAACUGAGAAAGGACCACAUAGUAUAUAACCCUCUGAAGACUUGGUCUGAGUCAUUAGGAAUGUGCUCUGCAGCUCUGGGACAUCUCUGGCUCCAUUCACUCUUAGUAAUGGUAAAACUGAGCUGAGACUGAAGAGUCAAAACUUCCAACACUUCAGGGAAAUAUGAGGUUUAAAGGCAUCCUUAAAUGGAAAAAUAGUGAAAUUGAACAGAAUUUUUUUAGUCUAGGCAUCUCUGUGAGUUUUCUGUGUAUAGAUUUUGGGGAUACAAGGAGGCAGAAGGACACUCUCUGCAGUUGAGUAAAUCAUUUUGGCAGAAAAUACUUUGUUUGCCUAGAUGUGAAACUCAAGACAUUGUUCAAACUGAGAUUUCAUCCAAGUUAUGAUUCAUUACUUCAACAUAAUCUGCAAGCUAACAUGCAAGUGAGGCUGUCCAACACAGGAGAUUCAGAUCUACUGAUUUAUUCUAGUAUGGUAAUCAAACUCCAUCUCCAACAGCCAAGGGAACACCCACCAAUACAUGAAUGAUUUCAGUGAGCAAAUUUGUUACUUUGACAACAAACCAAACAAAGAUAGCUCCUUCCUAUAUAAGCAACACAACCUUCAACUAUAACCAGCUGCCUUAUCAUUAUCCCAAUCCAACAAGGAGGAUUAUU
rnacentral:lncRNA from 1 species